AGCAGAGGAAGUGGGCUGUACACCCACAGAAACAGGGCAUGGCACUACACCCUGAAAAGUCCUCCCUACACAGGGACAACUUUCUCUGGACGCUUCUGCACAAACAUGUCUUAGAUAUCUAAGGAAGUGAGAUCAAUAUCAUCCUCCGCUGGGAACUAUAGUUUUAAAAUACAGACAAGCUGCAUUGUGGUUCCAGAUACACUGGCCUCCUGCAGUUCCUUGAAACCUCCACCUCAGGCCUUCAUGCAUAGUGCUUCCACUGCUUGGAAGCAGCUUCCCCCAGAUUACCACAGGACUUGCUCUCUCACCUCUUUUAGGUCUUUGUUCCAAGGUCAACUUUGCAAUGAUGCUUUCCUUGACUUCCUCACAAACUCCCUAUGCCUCUUUCCUAGUUUCUUAUCUUUGUGGUAUGUAUUACCAUAAAACAAACAAAAACUUUGUUUAUUGUUUCUCUGUAAUAGAAUGUAAGCUCUAUGAGAGUAGAGAUUUUUGUCUAUUGUAGGGGUUGGCAAAAUUUUUCUGUGAAAAUGUCAGCAAAUUCUUCAGGCUUUGUGGGCUGUGCAGUUUCUGUAGCAACUACUUAACUCUGCCAUUACAGAGCGGCGAUAGGCAAUACGUGAGUGAAUGGGCAUGGCUGUGUUCCAGUAAAACUUUAUUUACAAAAACAGAUGCUGAGCCAGGCUUGGCCUGUGGACACUAGUCUGCUGACCCCUGGUCUAUUGUGUUCAUUGCUCUAACCUCAAUAGCUACAAGAGUGCCUGGCAAAUAGUAGGUGCUCAAUAAAUACUUAUUCUUGUCUUUGGAUUGAGCUACUAGUGAAAAUGGAAUUAAGCACAAAUCUUAUUGAAAAGGUUAGACAAAUGAGGAUCCUGCACUAAUGAGGGAACAGUGUGAUCUCUUUCAUUACUAAACUUUUAGAUAAGAACUGACAGCAAGGUGUGGGAUUAAUUAUGUAUAAAAUAUUUGAAUUUUUUUUAGGGUCUGAUAUGUUUUAGGGGUUUUUAAUUUGUUAAGGUUGCUGUAAAGAACAUAGGAGAUAAAACGUUUGUAAGCAAUUUGAAAUUAUUUAAAAAUAAUUUUAAAAAUGAAAAUAUGCACAAAUACUAACAGAACAAAUGAUCAUUUUUCCACAGCGCAGAAUUACAACUGGGAAUAUCGCGCAAUAUUUUCUUCAAUUCUUUUUUUUAAAAUAAAUAAAAUGGUACAGAUUAAAUGGAAUUCCUUUUGACCACUUCUAGUCCUAUUUUCUUCACAUCUCCC